GGAAGGAAGCUCACUGUAGAGGUCAUGUGCCGAGUACAUUUGUUACUCUCUCACCUUGGGGAAGGUCUGAGACAAGAGCCGUUUCUGUCCUUGCAGGACAUCUUCCGAGCCGGGAGAGCGAGCUCCCAGACACUCGGUGCAUGGAGGGGUUUGCACAAGAUGCUAGUUAGUAGUUGGUGGCUUGAUACUGCCUUCCCUGGACUAGUUGAUGCCUAUUCAUCUGGGCAUUGGAAGUGGCUUGUGGCUAGCAUGGCACUGAGUCCAAUGGAUGAGGUGAGGCAACUGUGCCUCAUAACCCAAUUCAGACCACUCUCCGGAAUUCC
rnacentral:RNase_P_RNA from 1 species